GAUGAACACUGGCGGCGUGCCUAAUACAUGCAAGUCGAGCGAAUGGAUUAAGAGCUUGCUCUUAUGAAGUUAGCGGCGGACGGGUGAGUAACACGUGGGUAACCUGCCCAUAAGACUGGGAUAACUCCGGGAAACCGGGGCUAAUACCGGAUAACAUUUUGAACCGCAUGGUUCGAAAUUGAAAGGCGGCUUCGGCUGUCACUUAUGGAUGGACCCGCGUCGCAUUAGCUAGUUGGUGAGGUAACGGCUCACCAAGGCAACGAUGCGUAGCCGACCGGGGAGGGUGAUCGGCCACACUGGGACUGAGACACGGCCCAGACUCCUACGGGAGGCAGCAGUAGGGAAUCUUCCGCAAUGGACGAAAGUCUGACGGAGCAACGCCGCGUGAGUGAUGAAGGCUUUCGGGUCGUAAAACUCUGUUGUUAGGGAAGAACAAGUGCUAGUUGAAUAAGCUGGCACCUUGACGGUGCCUAACCAGAAAGCCACGGCUAACUACGUGCCAGCCGCCGCGGUAA
rnacentral:rRNA from 1 species